rnacentral:rRNA from 1 species
UACGUAGGGUGCAAGCGUUGUCCGGAAUUAUUGGGCGUAAAGAGCUCGUAGGCGGUCUGUCGCGUCGGCUGUGAAAACUCGGGGCUCAACUCCGAGCUUGCAGUCGAUACGGGCAGGCUAGAGUUCGGCAGGGGAGACUGGAAUUCCCGGUGUAGCGGUGAAAUGCGCAGAUAUCGGGAAGAACACCCGUGGCGAAGGCGGCACUCUGGGACGGUACUGACACUGAGACGCGAAAGCGUGGGGAGCGAACAGG